GUAAGAGGUAGUAUAGAUAAUGGAAUGGUUGUGUUUUGUAAAGUACUGUGAAGGAAGAGUAAAAAUUUUAAAAAGCAACGGGAAUGCGUGUACCUUUUGUGUCAUGGCUUAGCGAGAACAUAAGUUGGAUAGCUUAUCUCGAAACCCAAAGAGCGACUUAGGUACCUAUAAUGGUAGUAAAUAGUAAAUGUGGCAUAAUUUUAUUUAGAUACUUAGGUAGAAAAUUAUAUGUUAUUCGGGUUGGGUGAUAGCUAGUUUUCCCAUAAAUGUAUAGAGUACAGAGACCAGGGGUGAAGAUGGCAAUAAAAUGCUAAAAAAUGAUGGUUAUUUAUGUUUUUAAGGAUAAGCUUAAGAACGUGUAUAUGAAAGUAUAUAGUGAAUUUCUGGGCUUAAAAUUAGCUAAGAUUUAGUUUGUUAUAUAUAAUUAUAAAAAGAAUACUAAAAUAUAUAAAUGUGUAGAUUAUGGGUGUAUGUAGUAUUAAUUGUAUUACUUAGUUAAGAUGCUAAGAUGAGUAUUGGAUAUAUAAUGUACCUACUAUUAAGAGCAAAGUAGGGGAAGUGAUUAAGGUAGUAAAAAAUAUAAGAAAAGGAAUUCAGCAAAACAUGUCCCCGCCUGUUUAUCAAAAACAUGUCUCCUUGUAAUUAACAAAAAUAAGGAGUCGGGCCUGCCCGGUGAUUUACUAAACGGCCGCGGUACUCUGACCGUGCAAAGGUAGCUUAAUGACAUGUUUAUUAAUUGUAGACUUGUGAAUGGUCUGACGAGGGAUUAACUGUCUCUGCUUAUGUGGGCAGAAUUUGACUUGUAGGUUAAAAGGCCUAGAUAUAACACCUAGACGAGAAGACCCUAACGAGCUUUUAUUACGGUUCCAGAUUAUUGGUAAUGGGUUUUGGUUGGGGCAACAUGAGAACAUAAAAAAUUUCUUUUAUAGAAAAAGUGUGAUAUGAUCCGGUAGAUUUCGAGUAUAGGAAAAAGUUACCGUAGGGAUAACAGCGUUAUUUUUCUUGAGAGUCCAUAUCGAAAGAAGAGUUUGCGACCUCGAUGUUGGACUAGAAUAUCCUAGGGGUGCAGCAGCCCCUGAGGGUUGGUCUGUUCGACCAUAAAAAUUCU
rnacentral:misc_RNA from 1 species